rnacentral:lncRNA from 1 species
CCUAUUCCCUAUUCGUUACCUAUUCGUUACUUAUUCCCUAUUCCCUAUCGUUACCUAUUCGUUACUUAUUCGAUUUUUAAUAUCCUUCCCCCUUUUUAAUUAAUUAUUAUUCUUCUUCUUCCUCUUCUUCCUCUUCUUCCUCUUCUUCUUCCGCCACUUUAAAAAUGAACUUGUCCGCAGCAUUUCUCCAAAACUACUUGUCAGAUUUACUUAGGGUUUCAUAAAAUGUUAGACUAAUAUGUCUAGGUGAGCCAUCAAUCGCUCAUUUGUGCAUUGGGGUCUAUUAAGGGGUAUUUUGGGGGGCAGAAAGAAGGGAGGGGUUUACUAUAGAACCCUAUGGGAUUUUAUUUUCUAAAAUUUUCAAAUGAAUAUAACUUGAAAACUGUAAGUGAUAGAUACAUGCAGUCUUCAGAAAUGAUUAAAGGACAAUAAAAACAAAUCACAUGAAAUAUAGGGGAGUCCCUGGGGGGGGGGGUCAUCCCUACCCCCUUCAAUUCGAGAAUAUGCUUUUAACUUGUAAACGGUCCAGAUCCCCACCCCUAAACCAUAUAUAUUCUUGUAUGGGACAAUAAAACUAAUCAAAUGAAAUUAAAUAAAAGUUCCUGGGGGUCACCCCACCCCGUUCAAUUUGAGAAUGUACUAUUAUCUUGUAAACGGUCCAGAUCCCCACCCCUAAACCAUAUAUGUUCUUGAAUAGGACGAUAAAACAAAUCAAAUGAAAUUAAAUGGAAGUCCCCGGGGGUCAUCCCCACCCCGUUCAAUUUUAGAAUGUGCUAUUAUCUUGUAAACGGUCCAGAUCCCCACCCCUAAACCAUAUAUAUUCUUGUAGGGGACAAUAAAACUAAUCAAAUGAAAUUAAAUGGAAGUUCCUGGGGGUCACCCCCAC